rnacentral:rRNA from 1 species
GACGACGACCAUAGCAAGGUGGUCCCACUCCUUCCCAUCCCGAACAGGACAGUGAAACGCCUUCGCGCCGAUGAUAGUGGAUGUACAUCUGUGAAAGUAGGUCAUCGUCAGGC